rfam:Selaginella moellendorffii unplaced genomic scaffold SELMOscaffold_34, whole genome shotgun sequence.
CACCGAGGCUUAGUUGGAUAGAGCACCAGACUGGAAAUCUGGUGGCUAUAUCUUUUUCUCAGGUUCGAAACCCGGCAGUG